GUGCUUGCUUCGGCAACCCACGUACUAAAAUUGGAGUAGCACAGAGAAGAUCAGCAUGGUCCCUGGCCUAGGAAGGCACACAAAUUCACUGAGUGGUCCAUAGUUUUU
ensembl:snRNA U6 U6 spliceosomal RNA